UGGUUGCAUUUUUCGUCAAAAAAUCGCAAGCGAUACCACCACCGGCCCCUCCUCCGACGCUUCCAUUACCCAACCGACCAUUUUGACAUCGUCCGUCAUACCGUUCGUAUACCGGACGCUUAUGACGAAAGGAAGCUCUCCCCAUGGACGGUCCGGCAUGUCAUGGCGGCGAUAGACGUCAGACGUAUGACGGACGCCCAUCUCUACCGUCAGAUGGUCCGGCAUAUCAUGGCGGAUAGAAAUCUACGUAUGUGUGUGUAACUGCACAAAAAAAAUGACACAACACCAUCAUGUGGCGUCGUUUACUUGUGGUUGCAUUUGUCUGCCGAUGCUGCUGAAGAAGAUUUGAACCGUGGAUCUGUAAGAUAAAGAGACGAUCGUGCAAAAUGAAUGCGUCUAUUAUUUUGGAUGAGCAUAUGUACUGUUCUAAACAGUGCAAUGAUAACACUGUUACGCCGAUACUGGUUCCAGUUCCGUGGUCGUCUGCUGCUUCACCAUCAGUGCAGAAUCCGUGCCCAUCCACAUCUGCUGCAGCAAGUGUGGUUAUUAAGCAGCCGGUUCCCAUUGCACUUGCCGAAUCCGCAAGUGCCGUGAAAAAUCCUCCGCGUCCAUCCACAUCGGUUGCAGCGGGUCGGAAGCUUGCUCCCACUGCUGUUGUUGCAUCAGCGAGUGUCGUGCCGGAUCCUUCGCAUCCAUCCACAUCGGCUGCAGCGGGUGCGGUUGGUCGGAAGUUUGCUCCCACUGCUGUUGUUGCAUCAGCGAGUGUCGUGCCGGAUCCUUCGCAUCCAUCCACAUCGGCUGCAACGGGUGCGGUUGGUCGGCGGAAUCUUACUGAAAUGGAAAGAAAGAAGGCGGUAGCUCGCGCGUUUUCUCCGGAACAAUGCAUAAUAUUAGAAGCUAUGCAACGGGAAAUCGAUCAACUGCGAAAACAGGAUAAAAUAAAUACAAAACAAAUAGCGCUCCAACGAACAAUGUUGGAGAUGCUAGGUGGUGCUCGACCGGCAACGGAGCAGCAUCCUUUGAAGGAAUUCAAACAAAUUGAGACCGCCCAAGAGCUUGCGGAAUUGAAUAGCCGACUUGGGAGCGAUGUGGAUGACAGAGUUGCUUUCGAAAACUGGCUGAAAAUGAAAAUCAUUGGCAGGGAUGCAAGCAAUAGAUUGCACGAGGCCAUUGAUCUCAUUUUCAGCCGGUCUUUCUUGCACAAUGUAGCUGGACCGGACAUGGCAAGACUGAGAAAGUGUCUUAUAGUCUAGUGAAUUUCUGAUGUUUUUUUUAAGAGGUUUAUGCAACGGAAAUUAAAAUAUGCGAAGGAUCGCUUAAAUUUAAAAGGUGCUGUGAGGACAUCUUGCCAUCUUCGACAAACGUAAGUUUUUCAUGUGUUUCGUUUUGUUUAACUCGUUGCACUACUAAUUAAAUUUUGCUUACUGAAAGAAAUGCCUGAAUUUACUGAAAUAAAUGCCUAGAAAUGAAAUAAAAAAUAUAGUAUGCAUAUUUAAUCAAA